rnacentral:tRNA from 1 species
GCACCCGUAGCUCAGUAGGAUAGAGUACUACUUUCCGAAAGUAGAGGUCUCAGGUUCAAUCCCUGUCGGGUGUA